UGUAAGCGUAUACCAAAGUUGUUGCAGUUAAAACGCUCGUAGUCGGAAUUUGGCAGUUCCGGAUGUGUGCACGUCGUGUGCGCACUUCGCGGGAAUUGCUUUUGUGGUCUUGCGUAGGAUGAGGCACUUUUAUUAGUGAACGUCCUCACGCAACCACUUUUUACUGUGAGAAAAUCAGAGUGCUCAAAGCAGGCAUUUGCCGUGAAUGUAUUAGCAUGGAAUAAUAGAAUAGGACUUGGUUCUAUUUUGUUGGUUUGUUGGGACUGAGUAAUGAUUAAGAGGGACAGUUGGGGGCAUUUGUAUUUCGGUGCUAGAGGUGAAAUUCUUAGAUUACCGAAAGACAAACUGCUGCGAAAGCGUCUGCCAAGGAUGUUUUCAUUGA
rnacentral:rRNA from 1 species